UGAAUGUGUUUUGUUUAUCGCACCAUUCUCUGUAAACUCUAGAGACUGUAGUGCGUAAAAAUCCCAGGAGGGCAGCUGUUUCUGAGAUGCUGGAACCACGAUGUGUGGCACCAACAAUCAUACCACGAUCAAAGUUGCUGAGAUUACGGAGCUUGCCCGUUCUGAUGUUUAGUCGAACAUCAACUAAAGCGCUCUACUCUAUAUACUCUAUAUAUUGAGUUGCAGGCAGUCACAUGAUUCACUGUUCGAAGAAGCAGGCUAUUUGCGUUAACAUGCAGGUGUACCUAAUAAAGUAAUUGCUUUUCCAAUACUGCCAACUCGUUACUGAUGAUUGAUUUCACAUUGUGGUACGAGAAUAUAUGGAAAUGAGUGGUAUCCACCUACAACAACAUAGCGAUAACACGGAACCGGCAGGUGAUCCAGGUCACAACAGAGGUCAAGCAGUGGGAGGACGUGGUGGUCAAAGGAAUGGCAGGGGACAAGAACCUCUUCUGAGAGGUGGUCGUGGGCCUCGUUUAAGAGAUGUGGGGGAAUGUGGUAGAGGACAAGGCAGCGGCAGCAAUGAAAUCCGAGCAAUAGUUGUAGACCAUGUCGUAAAUCGUGGCAUGACAAUGACUGAGGCAGCUACAAUGAUUCAACCAAACCUCAGAAGAUCAACCGUGGCCUGAAUCAUCAGAACUUUCCGCAAUGAGAACCGAAUUGAGACUAGGCCAAAUAGGUGAGGCAGAGGCAAAAUUCUGACUGACCAACAAGAGCAGGCUGUGCUCAAUUUGGUUCAGGACAGAAAUUAUAUUCGCCUUACAUAAAUUCGACAGCACAUCUUGGACAAUGAGGACUUGUUCAACAAUGUGGAAGCCAUAAGUUUGCCAACUAUUGCACGCAUGCUGAAAAGGCACCAGGUGUCUCUAAAACAACUCUCAGCUCUCCUUGUAACCUUCCUUGAUGAGCUAAAUCAGGAAUUUUUCUCCACAUGGAGGUGGAAGGUAUAUGAUAGGCGCCCUCACAAA